GAAGACUGCGGGAGCAGUGAUCAUAAAUACAUCAGUCCUAAACAUACAGUUAAAAUUGUUUAUUUUACAACGCAAUAAAGUGAGCAAUCCACAUCUACAUCUUCGAAUCACACAAGAAAAAACAAAACUUGGAGUGUCCGGAUAUUUCGUCAACAUGAAUUUAGUGGCAGUUAUAACAGCGACGAUUUUCCAAAUUGUAUUUCUUCUGGUAGGAACCAGUCUUGUGGGUCAUUUCAUGAGAAAGUAUCGCGAUACUUAUGACAAAGAAGACAAAGCCUAUGAUAACGGAGAAUUUGGAAGACAUGAAUUUUACUUGUUUUCCACCGGUUUCGGAGUGGUUAUUUCAAUUUACUCUCUUGUGGGUGCAAUUACUGGAAUGAUAGAAAAAAAAGGAGGAUCACUCGCCAUGAUCGCAGUUCACGGUCUUUGGGCAAUUCAGCUGUUGGUUUCAUCAGCUUUACUUGCCAAAAACUUAGCCACAUUUGAAAAAAUGGGAAUCCCAGGACUAUAGGUACAAGCGUAUGUGACGCAUUAGAGUCGGCAAGUGCAGGUCUCAAUUGCACCCAAUUGCUCGUUGGCAUUGUAUGUGGUUUUAUGGCGGCCGUCUGCUUCGCUGUGAACGCGGCCAUCUACCUGCAUCAUUGGGUGGGAAAUUUUGUUUGAACGGACGUAACCAGACAUCGCCUUUGAUAUUUAAUCAUCUUUAUAUUUUUAGCAAUAAAAAUUCUCUUUAAAACUAGUACUAAGCUGCCCGUCAGUGUUCGUAAAUUAUAUCUAAACAAAUCAGCUUGAAUUGGAAUCAGGGCUUUGGAUAUGAUUUUAGAGGCUUGUUAAUUCAAAUUCAAAAGAAAUUUAAAUUUAAACAACUAAAAAGACGCUAACUAGUUCCUAGUGUAGACAGGGAGGAUAUAGUUGGGACAAAAGGAACUUGUAGUGCUGUUUUGGUCAAGCGUGGCGACAGUUUUAGUGCUACUGAAAUAUGAAUUACUAUAUGAAUAAACUUAUUUGUCCGACUUUUAAAAGUUGCAUGCCUAGUAGGUAAUAAUUCUGGAAGUAUUUGUAUAUGUAUUUGAAAUGAUUGAUUCAGUCUGGAACUUGUUUCGCGAUGCUUUGCAUUUUUAAAUUUUGUACCCAUUUUCUGAUACAAAACUCAAUGAGAUCUAAAAUAUGCUACGGGCACCAUUCUUUAGCCAAAUAUACUGACAGUGAAAAUCUCAUAGACUACGGGCUUACCGUCUCUCAAUAAUGGAUCGUAAAACUACCACCACGCAUU